rnacentral:rRNA from 1 species
CGUACACUCCUGCGGGAGGCAGCAGUGGGGAAUUUUGGACAAUGGGCGAAAGCCUGAUCCAGCCAUGCCGCGUGCAGGAUGAAGGCCUUCGGGUUGUAAACUGCUUUUGUACGGAACGAAACGGCCUUUUCUAAUAAAGAGGGCUAAUGACGGUACCGUAAGAAUAAGCACCGGCUAACUACGUGCCAGCAGCCGCGGUAAUACGUAGGGUGCAAGCGUUAAUCGGAAUUACUGGGCGUAAAGCGUGCGCAGGCGGUUAUGUAAGACAGUUGUGAAAUCCCCGGGCUCAACCUGGGAACUGCAUCUGUGACUGCAUAGCUAGAGUACGGUAGAGGGGGAUGGAAUUCCGCGUGUAGCAGUGAAAUGCGUAGAUAUGCGGAGGAACACCGAUGGCGAAGGCAAUCCCCUGGACCUGUACUGACGCUCAUGCACGAAAGCGUGGGGAGCAAACAGGAUUAGAUACCCGUGUAGUCCC